rnacentral:rRNA from 1 species
GACGAACGCUGGCGGCGUGCUUAACACAUGCAAGUCGAACGGAAAGGCCCUGCUUUUGUGGGGUGCUCGAGUGGCGAACGGGUGAGUAACACGUGAGUAACCUGCCCUUGACUUUGGGAUAACUUCAGGAAACGGGGGCUAAUACCGGAUAGGAGCUCCUGCUGCAGGGUGGGGGUUGGAAAGUUUCGGCGGUUGGGGAUGGACGCGCGGCUUAUCAGCUUGUUGGUGGGGUAGUGGCUUACCAAGGCUUUGACGGGUAGCCGGCCUGAGAGGGUGACCGGCCACAUUGGGACUGAGAUACGGCCCAGACUCCUACGGGAGGCAGCAGUGGGGAAUAUUGCACAAUGGGCGGAAGCCUGAUGCAGCAACGCCGCGUGCGGGAUGACGGCCUUCGGGUUGUAAACCGCUUUCGCCUGUGACGAAGCGUGAGUGACGGUAAUGGGUAAAGAAGCACCGGCUAACUACGUG